rnacentral:rRNA from 1 species
UACGUAGGGUCCGAGCGUUGUCCGGAAUUAUUGGGCGUAAAGGGCUCGUAGGCGGUUUGUCGCGUCGGGAGUGAAAACCAGGUGCUUAACACCUGGCCUGCUUUCGAUACGGGCAGACUAGAGGCAUUCAGGGGAGAACGGAAUUCCUGGUGUAGCGGUGAAAUGCGCAGAUAUCAGGAGGAACACCGGUGGCGAAGGCGGAUCUCUGGGCCGUAACUGACGCUGAGGAGCGAAAGCAUGGGGAGCGAACAGG